rnacentral:rRNA from 1 species
UACGUAGGGGGCAAGCGUUGUCCGGAUUUAUUGGGCGUAAAGAGCGUGUAGGCGGCCAGGUAGGUCAGCUGUGAAAACUCGAGGCUCAACCUCGAGACGCCGGUUGUAACCAUCUGGCUAGAGUCCGGAAGAGGAGAGUGGAAUUCCUGGUGUAGCGGUGAAAUGCGCAGAUAUCAGGAAGAACACCCGUGGCUAAGGCGGCUCUCUAGUACGGUACUGACGCUGAGACGCGAAAGCGUGGGGAGCAAACAGG